CAUGGAUCGGAACUGGACAUCGAUAACCUUACCGUCGAAAGCAUUGGUGGAAAAGUACAAACCACAAGUUUGAGAGAUUGGUACUGGUCUUUCAGCAUGGUGAAAUUCCAAGCAAUCAAAUUGUCCUUUUUUAAUAGGAGGAGAGAAGCUGACAGCUGAAAAACACAAAACUUAUAAAGCCAAGGAGCUGACAAAAUCCAAUAAGUGAUCUGGGUUAUUUACAGGGGAGAGGUUAGUCCAACUAAAGAGGUUAACCAAACAACUAGCCUUGAAUUUAGUAUUCCAAGCAUCCAGACCCCACUUGUGGGAUUACAUUGGGUAUAUUGUUGUUGAAAUCCAGGAAGUCAUCUGCAUUAUUUGCAGGGGAGAGGUUAGUGCAACUAAAGAGGUUAACCAAAUAACUCGCCUUGAAUCUGGUAUUCCAAGCAUCCAGACCCCACUUGUGGGACUACAUUGGGUAUAUUGUUGUUGUUGUUGGUAUUCCAAGGGUCUACUUUGUGUUCUUGUCGUGUUGGCAAAGCUGUCGCUUCCCUUUCUACUUAAUUGAUUUUUAUUUUACUGCAAGUUACUUUUGCCCCGAAAUCUGUAAGUUCUGAUAGCUAAUUAUUAUUUUCAGUUUUACAUCCUAUAAGAACCGGACCUUAAUUAUAUAGAAGGGACAACUUGAAGUGGAGUGUAUAGCUUUUGCAGUUUUUAGCUUUUCAUUGUUGCGAUCCUUAUGAUUGAGUUGCAUGAUAUCAAGCUCUUGUAGCCUGUAUUAACCUUCAAUCUCGAAAAUCAUUCUGCUGGUGAAAACUUCUAGCUUUUAUGUACCAGGUGGCUGAUUCACUUGAGAAAGGCACUGAACAUGAAGAUGAAUAUAUGAUUAGUGAGAAGGAGCUCCUUGUCAACAGAUUUAUUUCUAUCCCAAAAGAUAUGGGUGCUUCCAAUUGUGGAGCUUUUGUUGCUGGAAUUGUAAGGGUUUCCCAGCAGUAGUGACAGCACAUUUUGUCCCUGUGGAGGGGCAGCACCAACCACGGACAACCAUCUUGAUAAAAUUUGCUGAAGGUAUUUAAUUUGUAUAUGAUCUUUCAGUUCCGACAGACUACAGUAGUUGGCUACUGAGCUGAGUUUCUAGCUC